GACUGAUUGCUUGCGUUUUCUGGAAAAAAGAAAGAGAGAACACAAACAAUGAAUAAAAUGCAAGGCGCAACUUCGCGAGGCCGAUAUGAUAAGCCUAACCAGGUGUCAUUAUUUCCUUGGUCAUCUUGUGGCCAUUAAUAUCCCAUCUCCCAAACUAACACUGUUCUUUAACGCACAUACACCCACACAAAAUGGCAGGCUUUAAUGUUUAGUCUCUAGUUCACGUGAAAAACAGGUUGCAUUUGGAUACACACGGCAGAUUCAAUUUUGGUAUCAUCAUGUCACAUCUAUAAGUAUAUACGACGCAUAUGUCUAUACCUCCCAAACCAAACUGAGAUGAGUUUUGGAGUUCGUCUUCUUUUGUUUCUCAUACUAACCCUUCCACUUGUUACAUCCUCUGGCCGCAACACUCCUUCUGUUUCAGGAAUUGGGAAGACAGGGGUAGCAAAAAGAUUAUUGAUGGUGAGCAUCGAGGAUUAUGGUGAUCCAUCUGCAAACACCAGACACGAUCCCAGCGUUCCAACCAAUGCAAAGGCUGACACAACACCUUAAAAAAGUCGUUGACUUUACUUGUGUACUCUAUGUUUUUUUUGGGGGGGUAAAAUUGUGUACUCUAUGUUGAAUAUAUAUGUAAUAAUAUCUGCUUUGAGCGAGUUGAAUUACUGUCAUCUGAGUAGAAAACAUGCAAAAUCUUGUGAAAACCAUGUAAGAUAUGUAUCAAUCCAACACUUUGGGGACAAUAAGGCACGGUUUUGGUGUCAACAUAAA